rnacentral:rRNA from 1 species
CCUACGGGUGGCAGCAGUGGGGAAUAUUGGACAAUGGGGGGAACCCUGAUCCAGCCAUGCCGCGUGUGUGAAGAAGGCCCUCGGGUUGUAAAGCACUUUCAGUGAGGAAGAACGCCUGGUGGUUAAUACCCAUCAGGAAAGACAUCACUCACAGAAGAAGCACCGGCUAACUCCGUGCCAGCAGCCGCGGUAAUACGGAGGGUGCGAGCGUUAAUCGGAAUUACUGGGCGUAAAGCGCGCGUAGGUGGCUUGAUAAGCCGGUUGUGAAAGCCCCGGGCUCAACCUGGGAACGGCAUCCGGAACUGUCGAGCUAGAGUGCAGGAGAGGAAGGUAGAAUUCCCGGUGUAGCGGUGAAAUGCGUAGAGAUCGGGAGGAAUACCAGUGGCGAAGGCGGCCUUCUGGACUGACACUGACACUGAGGUGCGAAAGCGUGGGUAGCAAACAGGAUUAGAUACCCGGGUAGUC